UUCGUCUUUGCUUCCACAGGCAAUAAACAGUUGUUGUAUCAAGCGAAGAAACAUUUCAACCUUUUAAACUCAACAGAUUCCCUGAAGAAAUACAAAGACACUCUCUACCUCACCCAGGUGACUCAAGCUCAGUGUAUGAAGGUAGAAACUGAACCUAUAAUGAUUAUAGGCGUUUGCAGAGUCAUUUAGUGAAGGGUGAAGGAAAAACUAUGGGGACCAUAUACUGGCAGUAAGUUGUUUGUAAUCAG